AUACUGCUUGCCUGAUAACAAUUUAGUCAGCUCCUUUAAAUCUCCUGCAAAUGAUCCUGGCACUGCCCUUUUCUUGCCUGAUGGAUUGAAAAGAGGAAGAAACAUCUCUCUAAUGCCCUCUGGUCCUUAGGAAGUAACCUAGCUGGCUGCUUCCUACAUCUCAGAGUCUUUUGGGCUUCCUGUGAGGCUCAUUCACUCCCUGCUGACUUGGCACAACCUGGCACCUGUUAUCGGUGUUUCCAACAUGAUAAAAUACUCAGCUGAGAAGUCACAUGGACCAUCUCAUCAAGACUGAAGAUUUGCAAGUAGGGAUUACAGUAUCUCAGAUGAUAAACAAGGUAAUAAAAAUCACUGAACAGUGAUCCACAAAGUUAAGCAAAGCAACAAAUCUGGAUUAUAAGAGCAACACAGACGUGGAAAUCAAAAAAAUAAUUAGUCCAACCAACUGUUUUGCAUUUAACUGACUAAAAGAAUAUCAGGAUAGCUGGAAGUUCAAGAGGAAGAAGGGGAGAACAGACAAACAAAAAAACCCAACCCAACAAAAAAAGACGACUUCAUAAAGUAAAAGCAACUAAUAAUGAAAGACGAUAUAUACCAAACUGCAAUUGGUAGCGUGGGGUAAGUGAAUAGCGCCAUGAAGUAGUACCACAGAAGCAGCAGGAAUCUUGUGACCUCAGCACAGUCCAGCUGCUGCAGGUCUGUUCCACAGCAUCAGACACCCCCAGUCUGAUCUCAUGCAGCUGUGGCUCUCCUCUCCACCCACCUUUCCCCAGGCCAGAAAAUUCUCAGGAUGGCUUGUCAAGGGACAGAGGACCUGGAAGGCACUUCCAGGAGAUGGAAAAGAUCCAGAGAGGAGAUGAAAAACUAUGAUUCUCAAGGCCUAGCAUCCCAAGAAAGCUGCUUGGAAAACAUCGAAAAGAGCAGGAUAGGUUAUUUUAUAUUUUUUCUCUUUGCAGAAGUCAAUGGACUCCAGAGCAUUCUCACACCAUAUUUCUCUUCGCAAAUCAAUGUUAUCCAGUGAAAA